rnacentral:rRNA from 1 species
AUUGAACGCUGGCGGCAGGCUUAACACAUGCAAGUCGAGCGAGCGGCGGACGGGUGAGUAAUGUCUGGGAAACUGCCUGAUGGAGGGGGAUAACUACUGGAAACGGUAGCUAAUACCGCAUACCAUCAGAUGUGCCCAGAUGGGUUUAGCUAGUAGGUGGGGUAAUGGCUCACCUAGGCGACGAUCCCUAGCUGGUCUGAGAGGGUGACCGGCCACACUGGAACUGAGACACGGCCCAGACUCCUACGGGAGGCAGCAGUGGGGAAUAUUGCGCAAUGGGCGAAAGCCUGAUGCAGCCAUGCCGCGUGUGUGAAGAAGGCCUUCGGAUUGUAAAGCACUUUCAGCGAGGAGGCGUUACUCGCAGAAGAAGCACCGGCUAACUCCGUGCCAGCAGCCGCGGUAAUAC